UCCCAUAUAGUGUAGUGGUUAGCAUGUCAGGUUUUCAAUCUGCUCCUGCCCCUAAGCAGGAGUGAACGUAACUACCCUGGAGACCCGGGUUCAAACCCCGGUAUGGGAA